rnacentral:rRNA from 1 species
AUGGAGCUGAUCAAACACACGGCCACUCCAUCAAGCAAGACCCUUUUCCAACACGAACCCGCCGACGGCGGAGAUGCCGCGAGCGGAACCAUCGGCGGCCUCCCUUUCCACCUCACGGAGAGGAUCCUCCGCCGCAUCAGCCCGCUCGAGUCGGCGCCUUUCGCCUCCGUCUGCAAGUCCUGGGCGGCGAUCAUCUCCGAGCGGCUAGCGAGACCCACCCCGCACCUGUUCGCGCUCGAAGUCCUCGACGAGGACGAGUACUUCCUCGAUCUCCUGUUCGUGCCCGACUUGGAGCGCCGCCGUGGCGCCAUCUUCUCCGUGCCGACCGACGACGAGGAGUCGCCGGCGCCGGUGAUCCCCGCCCGUCUGCCGGCCACGGUCAGCCACGCGAAAGAUGACAGCAUAAAGUUGUCUGGCGCCUUGCCCUGCGGCGGCCUCUCCUUCGCGGAAGACAACCGCGUCGUCCUCGUCAACCCCGUCACCGGCGCGUUCCAGAGCAUCGAGAUGUACCCGCCCCGGCACAGGCUUCUGAUUCAACCGACGGUCAGGGCCGUGGCCGGCGCCGACGCGUUCUUCGUUAGCCAGUAUUUCGAGCGAACCGUCACUCUCCGGUGGCGCGAGGAGGAGGAGUGGUCCGAGCAGAAUCUGCUCCUGCCGGAAGAGUUCACAAGGAGCGAUGCCAUCGACCUGGUGGCCUACAGCGGCGGCAUCUUCUACGCCAUGGAGUUCUUCGGCUUCACCCACACCGUGGACACGCGUGCGCCGUCGCCGUGGCGCCUGGUGAGGCUCCGUGCGCCGAGCAUUCUCGAGCAGUACUCCCCGAUCUGCCUGUACCGCUACCUCCGGAACUCUCACCUGCUCGAGUUAGAAGGGGAGGUCAUGUUUGUGGGCCCGGUGCUCGCACCAGAUGAACCCCUUUGCCCCAAGACCAUCAGAGGCUUCGAGGUGUGCAAGCCUGAUCUCGAGCGGUCACGAUGGGUGAAAGUGGAGAGGCUCGCCGAUGACCGGGCGCUGUUCGUGAGCCAGCAGUCGUCGUUCUCAGUGCGUGCAUCGGAGACGCCGGGGUGCAGGGGCAACUGCAUCUACUUUGUGAGCGAAUUCGACGAAACCUACAUACAGGACACUUGGGGCGUGUAUUCCAUGGAGGAGCAGAAGGUGCUGUUUCAACGCCCCGUCGGUGGUUCGCCGGGAAAGUACAAAGCUGCACGGUGGUUCUUCCCUAGGGUCGGUGCAUCACCAGUGCGCACAAACUGUGCAAACUCUGGAAAGAAGAGAAAUUUCCAAAUGCUCUAG